UACGUAGGGGGCUAGCGUUGUCCGGAUUUAUUGGGCGUAAAGAGCGUGUAGGCGGCCAGGUAGGUCCGUUGUGAAAACUCGAGGCUCAACCUCGAGACGUCGGCGGAAACCAUCUGGCUAGAGUCCGGAAGAGGAGAGUGGAAUUCCCGGUGUAGCGGUGAAAUGCGCAGAUAUCGGGAAGAACACCCGUGGCGAAGGCGG
rnacentral:rRNA from 1 species